rnacentral:SRP_RNA from 1 species
CUCCGGGCUCCGUGCAAUGGAGAGCCGCAAACCCCGCCAGGUCCGGAAGGAAGCAACGGUAGUGGUUUCCUCUGUGUGCCGCGGAUUACCCGGGGUCU